GAGGAGAGGAGAGGAGAGGAGAGGAGAGGAGAGGAGAGGAGAGGAGAGGCUGGCUUCCUUAUGGCACCCAAAGGUGCAAGGAGGUGCCUUAUGGGGCCCUAUGGUGCCCUAUGGGGCCCUAUGGCACCCUAUGGAUCCUUAUGGCUCCCUAUGGCACCCUAUGGCACCCUGUGGAUCCUUAUGGCUUCCUACGGGUCCCUAUGGAUCCUUAUGGCGCCCUAUGGAUCCUUAUGGCUCCCAAUGGGUUGCUAUGGAUCCUUAUGGCACCCAAAGGUGGAAGGAGGUGCCUUAUGGGGCCCUAUGGCACCCUAUGGGGCCCUAUGGCACCCUAUGGAUAUGUAUGGAUCCUUAUGGCACCCAAAGGUGCAAGGAGGCGGCUUAUGGGGCCCUAUGGCACUCUAUGGGGCCCUAUGGAUCCUUAUGGCACCCUAUGGGGCCCUAUGGCACCCAAAGGUGGAAUGAGGCGGCUUAUGGGGCCCUAUGGCACCCUAUGGAUCCUUAUGGCACCCAAAGGUGCAAGGAGGCGGCUUAUGGGGCCCUAUGGCACUCUAUGGGGCCCUAUGGAUCCUUAUGGCACCCUAUGGGGCCCUAUGGCACCCAAAGGUGGAAUGAGGCGGCUUAUGGCACCCUAUGGCGCCCUAUGGAUCCUUUUGGCACCCUAUGUGGCCCUAUAGCACCCAAAGGUGGAAGGAGGUGCCUUAUGGGGCCCUAUGGGACCCUACGAGGCCCUAUGGCACCCUAUGGAUCCUUAUGGCACCCUAUGGGGCCCUAUGGGGUCCUUAUGGCACCCAAAGGUGGAAUGAGGUGCCUUAUGGGGCCCUAUGGGAUCCUAUGGGGCCCUAUGGCACCCAAAGGUGGAAGGAGGUGGCUUAUGGGGCCCUAUGGCACC
ensembl:lncRNA